rnacentral:rRNA from 1 species
CCAUCCUCCAAGGCUAAAUACUCCUGACUGACCGAUAGUGAACCAGUACCGUGAGGGAAAGGCGAAAAGAACCCCUGUGAGGGGAGUGAAAUAGAUCCUGAAACCGCAUGCAUACAAGCAGUGGGAGCACCUUCGUGGUGUGACUGCGUACCUUUUGUAUAAUGGGUCAGCGACUUAUAUUCAGUAGCAAGGUUAACCGUAUAGGGGAGCCGUAGAGAAAUCGAGUCUUAAUAGGGCGUUUAGUUGCUGGGUAUAGACCCGAAACCAGGCGAUCUAUCCAUGAGCAGGUUGAAGGUUGGGUAACACUAACUGGAGGACCGAACCCACUGUCGUUGAAAAGCCAGGGGAUGACUUGUGGAUAGGGGUGAAAGGCUAAUCAAGCCUGGUGAUAGCUGGUUCUCCCCGAAAGCUAUUUAGGUAGCGCCUCGGACGAAUACCAUAGGGGGUAGAGCACUGUUUCGGCUAGGGGGUCAUCCCGACUUACCAAACCGAUGCAAACUCCGAAUACCUAUGAGUACUAUCCGGGAGACAGACUGCGGGUGCUAACGUCCGUAGUCAAGAGGAAAACAAUCCAGACCGCCAGCUAAGGCCCCAAAAUCAUAGUUAAGUGGGAAACGAUGUGGGAAGGCAUAGACAGCUAGGAGGUUGGCUUAGAAGCAGCCACCCUUUAAAGAAAGCGUAAUAGCUCACUAGUCGAGUCGGCCUGCGCGGAAGAUGUAACGGGGCUAAAACUAUGUGCCGAAGCUGCGGAUUUGACAUUAGUCAAGUGGUAGGGGAGCGUUCUGUAAGCCGAUGAAGGUGUAUUGAGAAGUAUGCUGGAGGUAUCAGAAGUGCGAAUGCUGACGUGAGUAACGACAAAACGGGUGAAAAACCCGUUCGCCGAAAGACCAAGGGUUCCAGUCCAACGUUAAUCGGGGCUGGGUGAGUCGACCCCUAAGGCGAGGCCGAAAGGCGUAGUCGAUGGGAAAAUGGUUAAUAUUCCAUUACUUCUGUGUAAUGCGAUGAGAGGACGGAGAAGGCUAAAUCAGCCUGGCGUUGGUUGUCCAGGUGAAAGGAUGUAGGCAUGUAUCUUAGGCAAAUCCGGGGUACUCUAUGCUGAGAUCUGAUAGCAAGCUGUACUUGUACAGCGAAGUGGUUGAUGCCAUGCUUCCAGGAAAAGUCUCUAAGCUUCAGUUACACAGGAAUCGUACCCGAAACCGACACAGGUGGUCAGGUCGAGUAGACCAAGGCGCUUGAGAGAACUCUGCUGAAGGAACUAGGCAAAAUGGUACCGUAACUUCGGGAGAAGGUACGCUGUUGUUGGUGAUGGAACUCGCUUCCUGAGCUGACGACAGCCGCAGAAACCAGGCCGCUGCAACUGUUUAUUAAAAACAUAGCACUCUGCAAACACGAAAGUGGACGUAUAGGGUGUGAUGCCUGCCCGGUGCUGGAAGGUUAAUUGAUGGGGUUAGCGUAAGCGAAGCUCUUGAUCGAAGCCCCAGUAAACGGCGGCCGUAACUAUAACGGUCCUAAGGUAGCGAAAUUCCUUGUCGGGUAAGUUCCGACCUGCACGAAUGGCAUAAUGAUGGCGGCGCUGUCUCCAGCAGAGGCUCAGUGAAAUCGAAAUCGCUGUGAAGAUGCAGUGUACCCGCGGCUAGACGGAAAGACCCCGUGAACCUUUACUGCAGCUUGACACUGAACUUUGACCUUACUUGUGUAGGAUAGGUGGGAGGCUUUGAAGCUGGAACGCUAGUUCCAGUGGAGCCGUCCUUGAAAUACCACCCUGGUAAUGUUGAGGUUCUAACUCUGUCCCGUGAUCCGGGACGAGGACCGUGUCUGGUGGGUAGUUUGACUGGGGCGGUCUCCUCCUAAAGAGUAACGGAGGAGUACGAAGGUGCGCUCAGCGUGGUCGGAAAUCACGCGUAGAGUAUAAAGGCAAAAGCGCGCUUAACUGCGAGACCCACAAGUCGAGCAGGUACGAAAGUAGGUCUUAGUGAUCCGGUGGUUCUGUAUGGAAGGGCCAUCGCUCAACGGAUAAAAGGUACUCUGGGGAUAACAGGCUGAUACCGCCCAAGAGUUCAUAUCGACGGCGGUGUUUGGCACCUCGAUGUCGGCUCAUCUCAUCCUGGGGCUGAAGCAGGUCCCAAGGGUAUGGCUGUUCGCCAUUUAAAGAGGUACGCGAGCUGGGUUUAGAACGUCGUGAGACAGUUCGGUCCCUAUCUACCGUGGGCGCUGGAAAUUUGAGAGGAUCUGCUCCUAGUACGAGAGGACCAGAGUGGACGAACCUCUGGUGUACCGGUUGUGACGCCAGUCGCAUCGCCGGGUAGCUAUGUUCGGAAGGGAUAACCGCUGAAAGCAUCUAAGCGGGAAGCCUACCUCAAGAUAAGAUUUCCCUAGGACUUUAUGUCCUCUAAAGAGCCGUUCGAGACUAGGACGUUGAUAGGUUGGAUGUGGAAGCAUAGUGAUAUGUGAAGCUGACCAAUACUAAUUGCUCGUGAGGCUUGACUAUACAACACCCAAGCAGUUG